UGCCAUUUAUUUCCUCUGAAGCUCCCGGCCCAGAAUGAAUUUCCUCUGGGACAUGCAGGCAGGGAAGCACGCCGAGAGUUUCGUAGAUUGAAGCCAUUUCCUUGCUGCUUCUCUGCUUAGAGGCUGCACUCUGGCAAGAGUCGAAGCCAGAUUAAAAACUGACACUUCUUGAAAUAAAAAGCUGUCAUUCUUUGCACCCAGGACUCAUCCGUUAGCUGAACCCGCAGCGCAGUAGCUCACAUUGGGGUGUUUUCAGCCCUGUAAGGGGUCAUCUCUCGAGGCCAGGUAACCAGUACGAUCUCUGCUAGCUGUUGCUGGGUCUCAGUAUUCGCCGCGCGAGAUCAGGCAAAGAUGCUGUGAAGGGAGAGCUUUGCCAUGAAGGGCAGGAGUGGGGCAAGGCUGUGAGGCCGUUUGAAGGACUUAGACUAGCUCUGUCAGAAAUUGUAGGCACGAUUUUGGGUGAAACAUGGGUGAAAUGGCUUCAGGAUCCUUAUUGCUGACACUUCUGUGGGAAAUCGAGGCAUGGAGCAAUUCAGCAGCUUCUCCAAGCUGUGCUGCUCUGCUGCUGGAAGCACGGCCGCAGACCUCCCACCCCAGACAACUCCAAGGCUUGCUGACCUCUCUGUGUCCGUGCAGCCAUGAGAAAACCGAUGCUCAAGGAUUACAUUGCCGCCUCCUCGGAGCACGUGCAGCUUUUAGCAGUGCGUUACUCCCAUCCCCGCCCGAGAUCUGGUGCCAUCUGGAGCAGUGCUGGUAUGGAAACUGGAAGAAAGUUGGUGCUAACCCCUCAGAGAUGCAACAUUACGAAGCGUUCAUUUCCCAGAUCAUUAGAAACUCGGAAUAGCCAUCUGGCCAGAACCAGAGAUGCAUACGCCUGCGUCUGCAGCCUACCAGCAUUCAGCUGUGCGGGUCCCUGUUCCGUAGCGUUUGGGACUGGGAGCUGAAGAUGUUGCUUUGCUUCUCGGAGAAGUCUCUUUGGUCUUUCUACGGUUUAUCUGCAAUUCAAAACUGAGCUGAGUUUUUAGGAGGCAUCUAUCUGACAACAGGCAUUUAAGCCAGGAACAUAAUAUGUUUCCUAUGCCUCCAAAUAGCCUCCAGUGCUGUGAAACCACAAGAUCCUAUCUCUUCCAUGCGUUGUUCCCAUGAAUAUUUUCACUGUUAAAAAAAUACAUUUUCACUGUUUAAAAAAGUACAUUUUCACUGUUAAAAAAAAAGUACAUUUCAGUCUCCAUUUGUCUGGUCUCAGCAUCGGUCAGGAGGAUAUCACUGGGUCUUAAAUCCCAGCAUCGGGGGGUCCACAGGGUCUUGAAUUUUCAAAAUUUGUCCUAAAGCCUGAUAAGAACAGCCUUUCACACGCUGCCUGGGUAAGUUAACGCCAGUAAGAGCUGGAAGGUCUGAAAAGAAGGGCUUUAUGCUGCUGGCUUAGUUACAUUUGUCUUUCUCACCUAUGGCUUGCUUGCAGUAGAUCUGUGCAUCUGCUACAGACACAGCAUUCUCAUCCUGUUAGUCCUUUCUCUUGGCUGGUGAUGUACAGCAGAAAAUGGGACCUGAGGGGCUCAUUCACUCCUGCUCCUGGUCCGAGCUCCCCUCUCUGUACCAGAAGGAUAAUAAGAUUUGUACACCUCAAAGCUCGUGCACAUCUUAGAUCUGUGCUCCAGUAUUUUUAGCCCUAAGCUGUGCGUGGUCUCCAACUGUAAACAAACAGAGAUACAUAGAGCAGAUCAUUUACACUUUCUAGGAGAGGCCUGAAUGUAAUAUGACAGCAACGACUUCCUUCUCCUAAUAGCAUUUUGAGUUCAUUACGGUGACUGUGCAGCGCGAGCUCAUAUCCUGGAGGGGUGCCGCUGGAAGGAGGAGCAGGGGGAAAGCAUCUGGUUUUAUUCUGGCUUCUGUUUUGCCCAGCAAAUAUAAUGGCACAUGACCGCUGAGCCGACAGUAAUCCGGUUACAAAAGUCUUCAGAGUUACUGCACCAACCAAAUUAAACUCGAUUACAGCCAAUUAUGCUGAAAAGCCAGACAACAGCUCUUAGCUUGGGGUGAAGUAACUUCUUGCGAUCGCAUGCGGGGAGGCCUCGCGGGGUGUCAGGAGGAUAAUUGCUCGUUUGCUCUACCACAGAGCACCAUCUGCUCUGGAAGUAAUGCCGAAGGAUGUCAGAGGAUACCAGGCUCGGGUAAACAGGCAGGGGAGCCGGGCAAAGACUUCUCCCUGCUCCUUUUAUUGUGAUUUGUUUUACAGUUGCUUGCCCUGGUCCCGGCUGCGGUCAAAGCAUCCCAGAAGGAUGGACCAGGCAUGAAGAACUUCUGUCUGAGCCCAGAUUUUGGAAGAAUUUCAGUUGUGUUUUGUCCCAGCUCAGCUCCCUGCGAAAUUAUUUCAAACGGUCUGGUUUAGUGUGGGAAGCAGGACUGGGCUUUAGCUUGGAUCCUGGCUCCCAAGCAGCAAAACCCGUGUCAUUAUCUUAAAAUGCAAGGACUGGAAGCGUCCCCUGGCUGCAUCCAGACAAAAAUUCAGCACCAAAGAGGAGCCCCAGCCCCUCUGGGCAGCCUGUUAAAUCCCAUCCCAUUGUUUUCCCAUCACUGCAGGACCAUCAAUUUCCAGGCUGUGCGUGCAUCUCCAGCACUGCUGCCCCCCGAGUCGUCUCUUUCCCUUUUUUGAGUCUCUGCAAAGGCAUCAGAGCUCUGGUGCCCCUGUCUUUGCCAGAACACCACGGUGAAGAUGCUUCAAACUGCCUCGUUAGCUGAUCAGCGCAUCCUGUGCUAAUAUUCCCCCUGCUCAGGGAAAGCAGCCAGAGCUGCUGGAGCUGCUGUCUAUCGACAAAGGCAAGGACUGGCUUGGGGUUUGGCUUCACCCGCUGGCUGUUCUGGGGGGCUCGCCGUGCCCUUUUACGCAGGGUAGAAAGCUUGAAAAGGCUCCAAUCCUUCUUGAAAGAGAAGAAUGUUUUUUAUUUUUUUCCCUAACCUUGACAAAUUUGGAUGACAUGAAAGGCACCGCUGCCAGCCAGCCCUGCUGCAGGAGCUGUGUGGUGAAGAUAAAGUCAGGUCGCGGCGUGGAGCUGCAUCUCAAGAGCCCGAGCGUGCGCUCGGAAUGGCAAAGCAGGCGUGCAGCACCCGGCAGCACGGCGCAUUUUCAGAGCCUCUUUCCCCGCAGCCUCUUUCAGUUUAUUUUAACCCCCGAGUAGGGCAUUUCCUAGGGAUCAGAGCCUGGCUGGGGUAAGUAGCCCAAAGCAUUCCGCCAGCUGGGCCCCUAAUCCCCAGGAAAUGCCCCGUCGUCUCCAUCCUGCCUCCCCAGCAAGCCGCUGCGAGGUUGGACGCGCUCUUCUUGCAGCUUUUCCUUGGGCCAGCAGAUGGCACAGCUCGGUUAAAGAAACCGGGAGGCGGCAGGGGACGCGGUGGGCACUGCGGUUCGCCAGAAGUUGGGGUUUUUUCACACGUGGAUCUCAGUUUCAGCCGAGAACGGGGAAGGCUGGUGAAGGCUGUGAUUAAAAUCCCCCUCCCCGGAGGUUUCUGCAGGAGGAAGGGCAGCUCCUUCCCAGGCAUCCCAGCACACCAAACGCGGGAUUUGUCUCAGAACCCCAUAGGAACGUGAUUUCUUACACCCACCUCUCAAUUCCUCCCUUUUUUUUUGGUUUGCUCUGACUCCGGUUUGCUCCAGAGCAAAUACUGCGUCGGGGGCAAGAUUUGUAUUCCUGGCAAAAUGCUUUCAGUGGCACCGGUGCUAUAGCACGACAUGCAUUGGGUCACGAGGAAUCUGGCCGCCUGAUGCCAGGUUUUACUCGCUGGCCCCGCUCUGAGCGCUGCCGUGGCGGGGUUUAGGCGUGCACGUUCAGGCAGAGCACCUUUGUUGCGAGCGAUUUUUCUGCACGGAGCUUCUGUCUCACAGCCGAGCUGGCAGCGUGCUUACAGGUGCACAAAUCGCAACCCGUUUCCCAUCCAAAAGCCUGCUGGGGAGCUGCGUGCGGCAGGCUUUUAGGGUAGGCAUCAGCAGAGGCGUGAAAAAAAGAAUUCCUGGGGAUGCUUCGUGUUUUGGACACCAGUCAAAUAUGAUCGGGUGAUAUAAGCAAGUCAGGAGCUGGGCACCAGGACAUGGGAUGAGUAGAGAGAAAGGAGAGGACAGGGAGCAGGGUCAUAUCCCCAAGGCUGUGCAGAAUAACUCAUACCAAUUCACCCCGAUGCUCAUUAAGGAGCAUCGCUUUAAAGAGCCAUGGCCCCAGUGAAGCAUUUUGGCCCUGCGUGGGGAAAGUUGUUAACAUAAAAAUGCAGACGGGGUUCUCCGCAACUGGUUUUCAAAUUGAUACCACUUUGCAUCUGUGUCAGUGCGAGCAAAUUCCUAGCCCGUGAAUCAUUAAUGGGCAGCGCAGAGUGGCUUUGCACGAUACCUGCCUAUUAAUCACGAUUGUCCGCUCUCAAUUAGGUCUCUGUAAACUCCCGGGGGGUCUCCAGCCUCCCUGGAGGAGUGCUGGGUUUUGGGAAGGUUUCUGAAGGUGGGAUCAGAGCACGGGGUCACCCCAUUUACCCCGUGGAUGGCUCCUGCACACGGAGUGAGGCACAGCUGGGGUGUGCGGGCACAGCUGGCACCUGCAGGAAUGGGAUCAAGGAAAAGGUCUGAAACUCCUCUUUUUUUUCUUUUAACCUGGCAAAAAAAAUAAAAAUAAAAAUGAAGCCUACA
rnacentral:lncRNA from 1 species